rnacentral:rRNA from 1 species
AGUGAACGCUGGCGGUAGGCCUAACACACGCAAGUCGAACGGCAGCACAGUAAGAGCUUGCUCUUACGGGUGGCGAGUGGCGGACGGGUGAGGAAUACAUCGGAAUCUACUUUUUCGUGGGGGAUAACGUAGGAAACUUACGCUAAUACCGCAUACGACCUACGGGUGAAAGCAGGGGAUCUUCGGACCUUGCGCGAUUGAAUGAGCCGAUGUCGGAUUAGCUAGUUGGCGGGGUAAAGGCCCACCAAGGCGACGAUCCGUAGCUGGUCUGAGAGGAUGAUCAGCCACACUGGAACUGAGACACGGUCCAGACUCCUACGGGAGGCAGCAGUGGGGAAUAUUGGACAAUGGGCGCAAGCCUGAUCCAGCCAUACCGCGUGGGUGAAGAAGGCCUUCGGGUUGUAAAGCCCUUUUGUUGGGAAAGAAAAGCAGCAGGUUAAUACCCCGCUGUUCUGACGGUACCCAAAGAAUAAGCACCGGCUAACUUCGUG